AGCUUUGAAAGAAUUAGACCUGAGCUUCAAUCGUUUAAGUGGUCCAAUUCCAGAGCAACUUGGGAACUUGGAUCUAGAUUACAUGUUUCUAGCCAACAACUCAUUGAAUGGGGAAGUCCCAACUGGGAUAUUGAACAACCCAAAUAAGUUGGAUAUAUCUUACAACAAUUUUUCAGGGUCGCCUGAUGUUAGUUGCAGAGUACAGUCACCCGUGU